AAAAAAAAAAAAAAAAAAGAAUGAGAAAGAGAUGCUAGCCCCAUCUGGCUUAAAAGAAAAUAAGUGAGAUAAUAGAUCGUUGCUGCCGCUACUAAAUGGCAAAUAACCACUGCUAUUGUUAAGUAACCGACAAAAUGGCCAUUUUAAGAACAAAUUCUUUUUGCCUUUAAGUAAUGGGGGAAAAAACCUAUAAAUAAAGUCCGUUACAUUUCGUAAUGGCCAUUACUUAAUUUCUAAACCACUAAAUAUUUAAGAAAUACAUGCCAAAUUAUAAGAGGACCUUGGAUCAAAAGUGAAGUUGCUACAUUGUAACAUGGAUCUGACCAUUCCUAAAGUCCUAAAAGCAAAAAGCCUUGGGCAUGGGAACACCACUUCUUAUAUUUAAUUAUAGACUAUCAAAAUUCUAACAUUUAAUCUAUUAUCCAUCUACAAAAAUUUAUAUUUCUUUUUUGUUCAUCUUCUAGGAUAUCUUUUAUAUAUCAAUUUACAAAGUAUGAAUAUUAUUACAUACCUAUCAUUAUCUCUACAAAAUGUAGUGAGUAUAAACUUUUGUUCAUGCAAUGUCAAUCUAUUUUGUGAACAAGCGAAACUCCAAGAUAAGCCAAACAUCAUUUACCAAGCAAAUAAUAAUAAUAAUAAUA
rnacentral:misc_RNA from 1 species